GCAGAGUCAGGAGGGAAACCCCAGGGGCCCAGGAGGAUCAGGACAGCUGGCCCAGAGACUCGGAGGCAGGUCCAGGGGGUGCUGGAUGGAGGCCGUCGGCACCAGGCAAGCUGCAUACAAGUCAGCGUGGUGGGCCCCAGAAGAUGAAACCGGCGAUCCAUGAAGAACUGCAAAGCCCCCACGCAGGCUCCCGCUGCUUCUAGGAGCCUGGAGCCCAGUGUGGGGCUCUGCAAAUGUGUUCUCUCCCAGAACGAGUUUUAAAGACCUGAGCCUGAAGCCAUCGGGCUUUCUUUCCUCUCCUCCUCCCUAGGGGUUCAGCCUGCAGACAGUUCGAUGCUGGCGCACUCUCUAUUAAACAAACAUCAUUCCUCACAAUGGCUUCUCACAGCUGGGCCACUUCAGGCCACGCAGGGGAAGAACUCAGCCUGCAAGUCCUGGAAAGAAUGCAAAGCAGUGAUUUGUUCUUUUUCCGGACCCCACACACAACAAGCUAUACAUAAAUGCAGAAAGUGAU
rnacentral:lncRNA from 1 species